rnacentral:rRNA from 1 species
AUUGAACGCUGGCGGCAGGCCUAACACAUGCAAGUCGAACGAGGGGCGGAAGGGUGAGUAAUGUCUGGGCAACUGCCUGAUGGAGGGGGAUCACGAAUUGAAACGGCAGCUAAUAACGACUAGCAUCGCAUGUGCCCAGAUGGGAUUAGCUAGUAGGAGGGGUAAAGGCACACCUAGGCCACGAACCCGUGCUGGUCUGAGAGGAUGACGAGCCACACUGGAACUGAGACACGGUCCAGACUCCUACGGGAGGCAGCAGUGGGGAAUAGUGCACAAUGGGCGCAAGCCUGAUGCAGCCAUGCCGCGUGUAUGAAGAAGGCCUUCGGGUUGUAAAGUACUUUCAGCGGGGAGGCGUUACCGAAAGAAUAAGCACCGGCUAACUCCGUGCCAGCAGCCGCGGUAAUAC